GAACUAACAAGGAUUCCCUUAGUAGCUGCGAGCGAACAGGGAAAAGCCCAGCACUGAAUCUCGGAGGCAUCGCUUCUUGAGAAAUGUGGUGUUUGGGAGGGUUCAUAUACCCGAUACCGUCGCACCGCGUCCAAGUCCAUCUUGAAAGAGGCCACGGUCCCGAGAGGGUGCCAGGCCCGUGGUAGGCCGGUGCAGGUGUUGGGUGAACCUCUCCUUAGAGUCAGGUUGCUUGAGAGUGCAGCCCUAAGCGGGUGGUAAACUCCAUCUAAGGCUAAAUACAACCACGAGACCGAUAGCGAACAAGUACCGUGAGGGAAAGUUGAAAAGAACUUUGAAGAGAGAGUUCAAGAGUACGUGAAACCGCUCAGGGGUAAACGGAAAAGAGCCGAAAUUUCCGAAAAGGGAGAUUCACGUCUUCUCGCAGGUUCGACGCAUCCGCUUUCCUCCGACGGUUCUGCUCUCGUUCGGAUUCGUCCGGUGCGUUGUAGUGGAGCUGCAGGAAGUGGUGUGAAGGCCAGCGGCGGACCGCACUUCUCCCUUAGUAGGACGUCGUGACCCGCCCAGCCAUGGUCUUACGGUCGCAGGGUGGAGCCUCUUUGUGGCGUGCUUGCACGUUUUCGAGGAGACCCCCGUGUCCCGGCCAUGGUUUUACUGGACGGUAUCAAAUGACGAUGUUCGGCCUCUCUUCGGCGGGGGAAACCCUUGCCAGUGAGCGCGACUUGAUCUUUGGACAAGGAUUUGAGAUGUUUCAGUCAAGGCGGACUUCCGUCCGUCUGGCUGCUCUCGGCCCUGUUGGUUUGAGGAUCUCUCGUUUGGCCUAUUUGCAUCUGUCUACGGCGAAUCAGUUUUGGGUUCUUGUCCGACCCGUCUUGAAACACGGACCAAGGAGUUCAGCGUGUACGCGAGUCAUUGGGUGUCAAAACCUAAAGGCAUAAUGAAAGUGAAGGAAACUUCUCGUUUCUUAGGGAGGAUGAGAUGGUUACUCGCAAGAGGCCUCUCCGCACUCCCGGGGCGUCUCUUUCUCAUUGCGAGUGGAGGCGCACCUAGAGCGUACACGCUGAUACCCGAAAGAUGGUGAACUAUGCCUGGCCAGGACGAAGCCAGGGGAAACCCUGGUGGAGGUCCGCAGCGAUUCUGACGUGCAAAUCGAUCGUCGGAGCUGGGUAUAGGGGCGAAAGACCAAUCGAACCAUCUAGUAGCUGGUUCCCUCCGAAGUUUCCCUCAGGAUAGCUUGCGCUCAUGUGAAACGAGUCUCAUCCGGUAGAGCGAAUGAUUAGAGGCCUUGGGGUCGAAACGACCUCAACCUAUUCUCAAACUCCAAAUAGAUGAGAACUCCGGCUUCCUUGUAUUUGUUUUGAAGCCGGGGGCUCGGAUCAGAGUGCCAAGUGGGCCAAUUUUGGUAAGCAGAACUGGC
rnacentral:rRNA from 1 species